UAUAUUCAAUUAAUAACAUACUGAAUAAAUCUUUCGAAAGAGUCCAUAAACUCUUCAACCCAAAAUCCUUCCCACACACAAUUACAGCUUUCCAAGAAGCUUUCACAAAGCUCAUAACUACACGUUGUUACACUCUUGCGUAACUCUGGUCAAACAAAAUUUGCCGCGCUCGGCUUGCAUGUGUCAUAUAUCUGCGUACAAGCUCGACGUCCAUCAGGCCAGCUUGAUUCAGUUAAUAUAAUUCAAUCUUGAUGACAGCUCGGCCAGUUCAGAGCCGCGCGACAAUUAAGCCCGUAACUACUGCUGGCAACACACCCGAAACGCGAGGCAAGUGUGGCCACAGGAGGUCAACGGGCAUAUUUCCUUCAAGUACUGUCAAUCACUUCAUUGAGGUGCAAAAAGAGGAAAACAAGCAAAAAAAAAAAGCAUUUUUAUGGUGAAAUCGAGCUUGAAGGAGGACGUCACCGCGCGUUAAUGAGCAUCACCAACAAAAGCCGGCCCGCGAAGGUAAACCUGAGCUUUUUCAAUGCGCUCUUUGCAAGAUAAUAAAAAUAAAAGCAAGCCAUGAAACUGGAGGUUCGGUCGACCUUGAAUAGAUAAGUUUGGAAAAAACGGAAA